UACGGGGGGAGCGAACGUUGUUCGGAAUUACUGGGCGUAAAGGGCGUGCAGGCGGCCUCGUCAGUGGAAUGUGAAAUGCCCUGGCUCAACCAGGGAACUGCAUCCCAGACUGCGAGGCUUGAGUAUAGGAGAGGAUGGGGGAAUUCCCGGUGUAGCGGUGAAAUGAAGUGAUAUCGGGAGGAACACCAGUGGCGAAGGCGCCCAUCUGGCCUAAUACUGACGCUCAGGCGCGAAAGCUAGGGGAGCAAACAGG
rnacentral:rRNA from 1 species